GGGGUUGUGGCUCAGUGGUACAGCACUUGCCUAGCAUGCGUGAGGCACUGGGUUCAAUUCUCAGCACCA
rnacentral:tRNA from 1 species